CCUACGGGAGGCAGCAGUGAGGAAUAUUGGUCAAUGGGCGGAAGCCUGAACCAGCCAAGUAGCGUGAAGGAUGACUGCCCUAUGGGUUGUAAACUUCUUUUAUAUAGGAAUAAAAUGUUCCACGUGUGGGAUUUUGUAUGUACCAUAUGAAUAAGGAUCGGCUAACUCCGUGCCAGCAGCCGCGGUAAUACGGAGGAUCCGAGCGUUAUCCGGAUUUAUUGGGUUUAAAGGGAGCGUAGGUGGAUUGUUAAGUCAGUUGUGAAAGUUUGCGGCUCAACCGUAAAAGUGCAGUUGAAACUGGCAGUCUUGAGUACAGUAGAGGUGGGCGGAAUUCGUGGUGUAGCGGUGAAAUGCUUAGAUAUCACGAAGAACUCCGAUUGCGAAGGCAGCUCACUGGACUGCAACUGACACUGAGGCUCGAAAGUGUGGGUAUCAAACAGGAUUAGAUACCCGGGUAGUC
rnacentral:rRNA from 1 species